ACAGCAGCCGCCACGGGAAUACGUAGGGUGCGAGCGUUAAUCGGAAUUACUGGGCGUAAAGCGUGCGCAGGCGGUUCGUUAAGACAGAUGUGAAAUCCCCGGGCUUAACCUGGGAACUGCAUUUGUGACUGGCGAGCUAGAGUAUGGCAGAGGGGGGUAGAAUUCCACGUGUAGCAGUGAAAUGCGUAGAGAUGUGGAGGAAUACCGAUGGCGAAGGCAGCCCCCUGGGCCAAUACUGACGCUCAUGCACGAAAGCGUGGGGAGCAAACAGGAUUAGAUACCCCUGUAGUCCCUGUCUCUUAUAC
rnacentral:rRNA from 1 species